UUUGUUUCUUGGCUCUCUGGAGCUAAGAUCAAAGCAUAGUGUCUGUUCAUUAUAAUCUGUGAUAUGUCUUUGAUGUGAGCAUUGUGUAUUAGCUUGAUUUUUGAAAGAGAAGAAUUAGUGAGAACAGGAGCUUGCUUUGUCUUCCCCCAUGCAUGGAUCUGGUAUUGCAGUGUCUCCAGGAACAGUGUAUCUGCU